GACCGCUUUGGUGGCUUAGUGGUUAGAACAACCGCCUCGGAUGCGGGAGGUCGUGGGUUCCAUCCCCGACUGAGUCA